rnacentral:rRNA from 1 species
GAUGAACGCUGGCGGCGUGCUUAAUACAUGCAAGUCGAACGGAAAGGCCAUGCUUUUGUGGGUCGCAUGAGUGGCGAACGGGUGAGUAACACGUGAGUAACCUGCCCUUGACUUUGGGAUAACUUCAGGAAAAAGGGGCUAAUACCGGAUAUAAGCUUCUGAUGCAUGGGGGGGGUUGGAAAAAUUCGGCGGUUGUGGAUGGACUGGCGGCUUAUCCGCUUGUUGGUGAGGUAGGUGCUGACCAAAGCUAUGACGGGUAGCCGGCCUUAGAGGCUGACCGGCCACAUUGGGACUGCGAUACGGCCCAGUCUCCUACGGGAGGCAGUGGGGGAGAAUAUUGCACAACGGGCGGAAGCCUGAUACGGCGACGCCGCGUUCGGGAUGACGGCCUUCGGGGUAUAAACCGAUUUCGCCUGUGACGAAGCGUGAGUGACGGUAAUGGGUAAAGAAGCACCGGCUAACUACGUG